rnacentral:misc_RNA from 1 species
CAAAGUGGACAAGACUUAUUACAAACAGAUUGUCGGUAGUCUUAUGUACCUCACAGCGACUCGACCCGAUAUGAUGUUUGUAGUUAGUCUAAUUAGCAGGUUCAUGGAGAAUCCUACACAGCUCCAUUUACAAGCUGCAAAGAGGGUGCUGAGAUAUUUGAAGGGGACAACUGAUUUUGGGAUUUUUUAUAGAAAGGGAGGA